rnacentral:rRNA from 1 species
UACGUAGGGGGCAAGCGUUAUCCGGAUUUACUGGGUGUAAAGGGAGCGCAGGCGGCAUGAUAAGUCUGAUGUGAAAACCCAAGGCUCAACCAUGGGACUGCAUUGGAAACUGUCGUGCUGGAGUGUCGGAGAGGUAAGCGGAAUUCCUAGUGUAGCGGUGAAAUGCGUAGAUAUUAGGAGGAACACCAGUGGCGAAGGCGGCUUACUGGACGAUGACUGACGCUGAGGCUCGAAAGCGUGGGGAGCAAACA